UCUUGUCAUUUCAAGUAUUUAAAGCUCAGCCUGAGAAGGAGCAGUCACUCUCAUAAAUAUCUGCAUAGUGUGCAUGACGGUUCAUAGACAUAUCCACGACACCACCCUCCUAGUAGCUCAAGGUUCAUGAUGAAGUGUCUCGUUGUUGCCGUCAUCAUUACAUUGGUUGUUCAAAGCCUAGCUUCUGAAAUGGAAAGCGACUUCGAAAUGCAGGCGCUCAAGAAAAGAGGGUGGAAAUCGAUCUGGAUUGGCUGUUCAAAGAGUUCAGAAUGCCUCCCAGGCCAUGUUUGCGAACGUCAUGUUAAAAACUGCGCAUUUCCAAAAGACAACAGGUGUUGCCUUUUAGGAUAGGACGCCCUGGCACAACGAUACCAUAUGUAAAGUAUCGGAGUCACAUUAAAGUUCGCAUUCUUCGAAAUGUUUGAUUAAAUUGGUUAUCAUUGUGUAUGUUGAUACCUUACAAUAAAUAGACUCCUGGAA